rnacentral:tRNA from 1 species
GGCCUGCUAGCUCAGUCGGUUAGAGCGUCGUGCUAAUAACGCAAAGGUCGUAGGUUCGAUCCCUGCGCAGGCCA